GUCAUGACGCAAAAACUAGCCUUAGAGCAACGUGUAAUGUUAUCUGUUGCGUUGUGUUUUCUGUGAGAGAGAGAGACUUAAAAGCAUUUCGUAACCCCAAAUAGAAGAAGGAAGAAUCAGACGACACGACGUUGCAGAGAGCAAUAAUGGGAACAAUGAAAGCACCAUGGAAGCAGCUUCUUCUAGACGCAUUAGAAGCAAAUUCCCACCUUAAACACUCUUCUUUCUUACAGCUUGCUACGAUGGGUUGUAAUGGAAGACCUUCAAAUCGCACUGUCGUUUUCAGGGGGUUUCACGAGGAUACUGAUAAGAUACAAAUCAACACAGAUUACAGAAGCCACAAGAUUGAGGAGCUUAAGCAUUGCCCAUUUGCUGAGAUUUGUUGGUACUUCACUGACUCUUGGGAGCAAUUCCGGAUUAAUGGAGCAAUCGACAUUAUUGAUGGAACAAAUCCUGAUCCUAUAAAACUUCAGCAAAGAGAGAAAUCAUGGUUUUCCAGUUCUCUUAGAUCUAGGCUGCAGUAUUUGGGGCCUAAUCCAGGUCUUCCAAGUAUAGAUGAAGAUCCAACCAAAGAAAUUUUUCUCGACAAUUCUAGAGGCCCAGUCGAUGCAUUUUGUGUGCUAAUUUUAGAUCCAGAUCAGGUUGAUUACUUGAAUUUGAAGAGCAACCAGAGGCUAAGCUUUGCAUCUAGACAAAGUGUAAGCGGGGAGAAGUCCUGGACUUCAGGGAGAAUUAAUCCUUAACAUCUGUAUACAUCUGUAUUGGGAUUUAAGUGGAACGUGUUACCAUCCAAUAUUGGGAAUACAUAAGAAGGUCAGCGGGAGGAUGUGGAAGGGUCUGAGGAUCUCCUUUACCAUUCUUCACGAUGAUUGCUGUGCCUAAUCCCCACGACUGGUGUAUGUCAAGGUGACAAUGCAUAAACCAAACUCCUGUAAUAUUCAAUAUCAAAAUCAUUUACUUCCUCUAUCAGUAAAAACCAAAAACAACCCAACUAGAGAUAGGGUAGCAUAUUAAACUACCAAUGAUACUAAACACAUAGUGUAUGUAUUUAGUUAUUUAAAUGUGUGAUGAGGAGAAUGCUACAAAUAUUACUUUACAAUGCUCACUGUUGCCACAGUAUGAGACUCGUAUCAUACUAUGUGGAAGCAUGUACCAAUUGGUGCAGCAAAAUUAAGAGAAAUGCCAUGCUUACCUGGAUUGUCAGCAACAAAUCGGAUAGCAGCCCAUCCCCCAACAGGAACACCGAUUGUGUUCAUAUAAGGUGGUGAAAUUACUGGCCUAACUUUAUACAUAAUUGUAAAGAUCUGCCUUGAAUCAGAGAGACCAAUUGUAAAGACCUGCCUUGAAUCAAUGAAACAUGUAAACAAAUGUGACUCGUGACAGUCACUUUCAGCAACCAUGAAGUGGCCACAUCUUAACUUGGCUUAGCAUUAUAGCUAUGGCAGUGCAGCCAGUGCAAUCCAUAUCAUUCUUAUAAAUAUAUUUUUUUUCAUUAUAUUCUCUGUUUCAGUUGCAAUGCUUAAAGAGUGUAAAAAGGUGAAUAAAAGGAUAUGGGCUUUUAUUGCUAUGGUUUUUUUGGACAUUUUCUUCCAUAUAUGAAUCAUUUCAAGCAUAGCUGGUGCACGCCUUCAUACUACAGCCCCACCUACAGCAAAUAUUGUUCAUCUUUUAUGGAAAUCAAUUUUUGUUUCAUCA